ACCAUAAUUAGCCCACAACACCCAUAAAAUAUAACAACAACUCUUAAGUUAAACAAAACAUUUAUUACUCGUAAAAGUAUAGGAGAUAGAAAUUUCAAAUGGCGCUAUAGAGAAAGUACCGCAAGGGAACAAUGAAAGAAAACCUUAAAAGUAUUAAAAAGCAAAGAUUACCCCUUGUACCUUUUGCAUAAUGAGUUAACUAGACUAACUUAGCAAAGAGGACUUAAGUUAAAACACCCGAAACCAGACGAGCUACUUAUGAACAGCUUCCCCAGAGCAAACUCAUCUAUGUGGCAAAAUAGUGAGAAGAUUUGUAAGUAGAGGUGACAAGCCUACCGAGCCUGGUGAUAGCUGGUUACCCAGAAAAGAAUUUUAGUUCAACCUUAAAUUUACCUAAAAAUCACCAAAUUAUAAUGUAAGUUUAAGACAUAAUCCAAAAGGGUACAGCCUUUUGGAUACAGGAUACAACCUUUAUUAGAGAGUAAGAAUUAUAAUUAUCAUAGUUGGCCUAAAAGCAGCCAUCAAUUAAGAAAGCGUUCAAGCUCAACAAAACACGAACCUUAAUAUCAAUAAUGAUAGCCAACUCCUAAUAAAAAUACUGGGUCACUCUAUUAGUAUAUAGAAGAGAUACUGUUAAUAUGAGUAACAAGAACAAUGUUCUCCUUGCACAAGUGUAUAUCAGAACGAAUAUCUCACUGAUAGUUAACAUUAAUAACACUAAUCAUAUAAUAAAUUACUUAUCUAACAACUUGUUGACCCAACACAGGAGUGCACCUUAAAGGAAAGAUUAAAAAGAGUAAAAGGAACUCGGCAAACACAAACCCCGCCUGUUUACCAAAAACAUCACCUCUAGCGUUACUAGUAUUAGAGGCACUGCCUGCCCAGUGACAUCCGUUUAACGGCCGCGGUAUCCUGACCGUGCAAAGGUAGCAUAAUCACUUGUUCUCUAAAUAAGGACUUGUAUGAAUGGCCACACGAGGGUUUUACUGUCUCUUACUCUCAAUCAGUGAAAUUGACCUUCCCGUGAAGAGGCGGGAAUAAACAAAUAAGACGAGAAGACCCUAUGGAGCUUUAAUUAAUUAAUCUAAGAAAAACUACUACUAAUCAAAAGACUUAAAACAAUUUCCCAAUAGAUUAGCAAUUUAGGUUGGGGUGACCUCGGAGUAUAAAACAACCUCCGAGUGAUUUAAAAGCUAGACCUACUAGUCAAACUAACAACUCAUGAAUUGAUCCAAUUCUUUUUGAUCAACGGAACAAGUUACCCUAGGGAUAACAGCGCAAUCCUAUUUAAGAGUCCCUAUCGACAAUAGGGUUUACGACCUCGAUGUUGGAUCAGGACAUCCUAAUGGUGCAGCAGCUAUUGAUGGUUCGUUUGUUCAACGAUUAAAGUCCUACGUGAUCUGAGUUCAGACCGGAGUAAUCCAGGUCGGUUUCUAUCUAUUUUACGCCUCUCCCAGUACGAAAGGACAAGAGAGACGGGGCCAACUUCAAAAAGCGCCCUCAAGACCAACAGAUGAUAUAAUCUCAAUCUAGUAAACUUUGACACCAGUUCACCCUAGACCAGGGUUU
rnacentral:rRNA from 1 species